AUUAAGUUCCUAACAAGCAAAAUGUUGAAAGUGCGCAGCGGUCUAUCUAUAAUUCAGGCGCAAAAAGCAGCCCUCUCUGUCAGCAGUCCGCUGCGUUGGCAGACCACAGCAGCUGUAGCAGAGCCCAGAAAUGAUGCAGAGUGGCUACAAGCUCGUCCCUUUGAUCAGAUUCCUAGUACAACUUUUCUGUCUACUGUUCGGAAUUUUAUGCCUGGAGGAAAAUAUAGCAAACUGGACAUUGUGAAAUUGUUCAAAGCUUUGCAAGACGACUAUGGAAACAUAUUAUAUUUACCAGGUAUGAUGGGAGGUACGUCAUACCUGAUGACUCACAAUCCCAAGGACUUCGAGGUCGUGUUCCGGAACGAAGGAGUGUGGCCGCAUCGGCCUGGCAGCGAUACUCUUCGCUAUCAUCGGAAGACUCAUAGAAAGGAUUUCUUCCAUGGAGUGGAGGGAGCUUUAGCCACACAAGGAAAAACCUGGAGCGACUUUCAAUCGGCUGUAAAUCCUGUCCUAAUGCAGCCGAAGAACGUGCGGCUUUACUAUAAGAAGAUGUCCCAAGUAAACCAGGAGUUUGUGCAACGGCGCGUAUGACUGAUAAUAAAUCCCUGUUUACGCUCAAGUAUGUUCUCCCCCCUUCACAGUAUUAAAGCACUCCGUGAUAUCGAUACCCAGGAAGCUCCAGAUGAUUUCUUAAACGUUAUAAAUCGGUGGACCCUCGAGUCAGUCUCUGUGGUGGCUCUGGGCAAGCAGUUGGGACUGCUCAAAGAGUCGGGCGAUAACGACCAGGCUGUGUUACUUUUCAAGUACCUGGACGAUUUUUUUGAAUUAACAGCCGAUCUGGAGAUGAAGCCCUCCAUCUGGCGUUACGUUAAAACACCCAAGCUAAUGAAGUCCCUAGAUGGCGUUCAAGAAAUAACUUCAGCGUAUGUAGACGAAGCUAUAGAGCGUCUAGAGAAAGAGGCCAAGGAGGGUGUUGUCCGCCCUGAGAGCGAGCAGAGUGUACUGGAAAAGCUGCUCAAGAUCGACAAAAAGGUGGCGACGGUUAUGGCCAUGGACAUGCUAAUGGCCGGAGUGGAUACCACCUCAAGUACCCUUACAGCGGCCUUGCUGUGCCUUGCCAAGAAUCCUUAUUUUCACCCAUUAAAGUAAGAAAUAGGCUAAGAAACCCCAAAACAGUAGGCCUUUUUACUUAUUAGAACUAAGAGAACCAACAUGUAAGAGAGACGCACACUACGGCCACGCAGCGAAGAGAGACGCACACCACGGCUAUACGAAAGCGAAGAGAACCAACACGAAAGAGAUACGCUCUUACGCCCACGCAGCCAACGCAAGGAAGAGAACGGCUAUACGCAGACGAAAAGAGACAACAUGAAAGAGAGCGAAGCGGCAGAGAAGCCGCCGAUCGGUCUUACGCCCACGCAGCCGAGGAAAAGAGCCGACGGCGAAGCAGGCAAUACACACACGCAGCCAUACACCCACGCAGCCGAGGCCGGCAGCCGAAGGCGGCGCAGCAGCGAAGCGGCAGAGAAGCUGCGAAAAAGAAAAGCCGAGGCCUGGCACGGUCCAGCGCGAGCCAAGCUCGGGAGUGAUCUCGGAGGGCUGAGCCAGACCGGUUGUGCGGCGGAAGCCAAAAUAGAUGUGAAAAACUAGCCGUGACCGCGCCGUGUACGCAAUAAGCCGUGUUCGCCCGCACGCGGUGAAUAAAACCAGCUGUGACCGCACCCACGCGGUGUGCAAAGGAAGCCACCGAAGUGACCCGCCGUGGGAGAACAGGACCCAAAGAAGGGACACAAGGGUGAGCCACCUCACGUAUGUGAGCUCUGGGGGGGAUAGAUCGGUGCAGUAGGCAGGUAUAAGCAGAACAUUCCCGCAGUUUCUUUACAUAUCUAUGCCCACAUGUUGUUUAUGAUAUUUUUUUGGCGUUUACUUCCCCGCUGCAGGCGCGGGAUUUUAAGUAGGGAAAUGAUCCGAAAACAAUAAAGACACCAACCUCAACCCAA